rnacentral:rRNA from 1 species
AUGAUUCGUGGGACGUCCUGCCGGUGGUGGCGAGUCGAAGGCGAGCUCCCGUCGUGGUUCCCACUUCGGUUCUUGCUCGCCCGAGGCGGACCCCGAUGAAAUCCUACCGCGGUGCUCUUCACCGAGUGUCGAGGUGGGCCGGCACGUUUACUUUGAACAAAUUAGAGUGCUUAAAGCAGGCCUGUUGCGCCUGAAUACUGUGUGCAUGGAAUAAUGGAAUAGGACCUCGGUUCUAUUUUGUUGGUUUUCGGAACCCGAGGUAAUGAUUAAUAGGGACAGGCGGGGGCAUUCGUAUUGCGACGUUAGAGGUGAAAUUCUUGGAUCGUCGCAAGACGGACCGAAGCGAAAGCAUUUGCCAAGUAUGUUUUCAUUAAUCAAGAACGAAAGUUAGAGGUUCGAAGGCGAUCAGAUACCGCCCUAGUUCUAACCAUAAACGAUGCCAGCUAGCGAUCCGCCGAAGUUCCUCCGAUGACUCGGCGGGCAGCUCCCGGGAAACCAAAGCUUUUGGGUUCCGGGGGAAGUAUGGUUGCAAAGCUGAACUUAAGGAAUUGACGGAGGGC